AUACGGAGGAUCCGAGCGUUAUCCGGAUUUAUUGGGUUUAAAGGGUGCGCAGGCGGCCAUUUAAGUCAGCGGUUAAAUCGUGGGGCUCAACCCCAUUCUGCCGUUGAUACUGGGUGGCUUGAUUGCGGUCGAGGUUGGCGGAAUUCGUUGUGUAGCGGUGAAAUGCAUAGAUAUGACGAAGAACACCGAUUGCGUAGGCAGCUGACCAGACCGCAAAUGACGCUCAUGCACGAAAGUGCGGGGAUCGAACAGGAUUGGAUACCCUGGUAGUCCGCACAGUAAACGAUGAAUACUUGUUUUCGGCGAUAUAAUGUCGGAGGCAAAGCGAAAGCGAUAAGUAUUCCACCUGGGGAGUACGCCGGCAACGGUGAAACUCAAAUGAAUUGACGGGG
rnacentral:rRNA from 1 species